UACGAAGGGGGCUAGCGUUGUUCGGAUUUACUGGGCGUAAAGCGCACGUAGGCGGUUUGUUAAGUGAGGGGUGAAAUCCCAGGGCUCAACCCUGGAACUGCCUUUCAUACUGGCAAUCCCGAGUCCGGAAGAGGUGAGUGGAACUCCUAGUGUAGAGGUGGAAUUCGUAGAUAUUAGGAAGAACACCAGUGGCGAAGGCGGCUCACUGGUCCGGUACUGACGCUGAGGUGCGAAAGCGUGGGGAGCAAACAGG
rnacentral:rRNA from 1 species